GCCCGGCUAGCUCAGUCAGUAGAGCAGGGAACUCUUAAUCCCUGAGUCAUGGGUUUGAGCCCNAUAUUGGGCA
rnacentral:tRNA from 1 species